CCCUUAGAUGUUCUGGGCCGCACGCGCGCUACACUGACUGCUCCAACAAGUUACCUGGGCUGACAAGCAUCCGGGAAAUCUUGCAAAGGCAGUCGUGAUGGGGAUAGAUUCUUGUAAUUUUUGAUCUUCAACGAGGAAUUCCUAGUAAACGCAAGUCAUCAGCUUGCAUUGAUUACGUCCUUGCCCUUUGUACACACCGCCCGUCGCAUCUACCGAUUGAAUGGAGAGGCAAAAUCUUCGGACCGUGACGCUUGGGAGUCAAAUCUCGGGCUGUCGUGGGAAGUGGAUUAAACCUUUCUAUUUAGAGGAAGGUAAAGUCGUAACA
rnacentral:rRNA from 1 species